UGCCAGCAGCCGCGGUAAUACGGAGGGUGCGAGCGUUAAUCGGAAUUACUGGGCGUAAAGCGCGUGUAGGCGGCGGCGCAAGUCGGGUGUGAAAGCCCACGGCUCAACCGUGGAAGUGCAUUCGAAACUGCGUGGCUAGAGUCCUGGAGAGGAAGGUGGAAUGCUUGGUGUAGAGGUGAAAUUCGUAGAUAUCAAGCGGAACACCGGUGGCGAAGGCGGCCUUCUGGACAGUGACUGACGCUGAGACGCGAAAGCGUGGGGAGCAAACAGGAUUAGAUA
rnacentral:rRNA from 1 species